AAGCAUGUAGGCUGAUUGUCCAGGCAAAUCCGGAUAAUCAAGGCUGAGGUGUGAUGACGAGGCACUACGGUGCUGAAGUAACAAAUGCCCUGCUUCCAGGAAAAGCCUCUAAGCAUCAGGUAACAUUAAAUCGUACCCCAAACCGACACAGGUGGUCAGGUAGAGAAUACCAAGGCGCUUGAGAGAACUCGGGUGAAGGAACUAGGCAAAAUGGUGCCGUAACUUCGGGAGAAGGCACGCUGGUGUGUAGGUGAAGUCCCUGCGGAUGGAGCUGAGACCAGUCGAAGAUACCAGCUGGCUGCAACUGUUUAUUAAAAACACAGCACUGUGCAAACACGAAAGUGGACGUAUACGGUGUGACGCCUGCCCGGUGCCGGAAGGU
rnacentral:rRNA from 1 species